rnacentral:rRNA from 1 species
AUUGAACGCUGGCGGAAUGCUUUACACAUGCAAGUCGAGCGGCAGCACGGGGGCAACCCUGGUGGCGAGUGGCGAACGGGUGAGUAAUACAUCGGAACGUGCCCGGUCGUGGGGGAUAACGUAGCGAAAGUUACGCUAAUACCGCAUACGAUCUGAGGAUGAAAGCGGGGGACCUUCGGGCCUCGCGCGAUCGGAGCGGCCGAUGUCAGAUUAGGUAGUUGGUGGGGUAAAGGCCUACCAAGCCGACGAUCUGUAGCUGGUCUGAGAGGACGACCAGCCACACUGGGACUGAGACACGGCCCAGACUCCUACGGGAGGCCGCAGUGGGGAAUUUUGGACAAUGGGCGCAAGCCUGAUCCAGCCAUUCCGCGUGCAGGACGAAGGCCUUCGGGUUGUAAACUGCUUUUGUAUGGAACGAAAAGGCUCUGGCUAAUACCUGGGGCUCAUGACGGUACCGUAAGAAUAAGCACCGGCUAACUACGUG